GUGAAAUGUGACCUAGACAUAUUCUUGACAGGUUUCAUGUAAUGCGCGCACACACACACACACACACUGAUGUGACAGCUCUAAUCUCUCCAUGGCUGAAGGAAAAGAAAGGUUCUAAUUAGAGCGAAAGUGUCCGUGUUUUCAGAGGCUCUGCUGCGGCGUCUGUCACGGACUGAACUGAAAUCACAGUGUGAAUCGGUGCAGCUUUGUUUCACAUCAUUAUUGCACAUCACAUCUGAUUGUUGCACGGGGUGAAUUUUCCAGGAAACGGGAUGAGAAAGAGAACUGCGAAAAAUCAACACACAUUCAAAGACUGCAAGACAUUCAAGACGAGGUUUUGUGGCUUCAUAUCUGCUCAUUUACAUUAAAACCUGACAAAAUUAACAUUUCAGAAGGUAUACACAUUAAAAACAUUUUAGGUAUAAAUGUUAAAAUUCCUUCAAAGAUUUUAGCUUGAUAUGGAACCAGUCGCGUGGAGUUGGGAUCAAUGCAGCUGUGCAAAUGAAAGCAUAGUGGUUAUUUAAAAAUGUGCUUUGAAGCCAUUUCAUGAGGUCUGUAAAGCACUAGUUCAGCCCAAAAUGAAAAUCUGAUGAAAUGUGAAUGUAAAAUGAGAGUCCAGACAGCUGAUAAAAACGUCACAAUCCAUACCACUCCAGUCCAUCAGUUAAUGUCUUGUGAAGCCAAAAGCUGCGUGUUUGUAAAAAACAAAUCAUUAAGAUGUUUUUAACUCCAAACCCAGGUAACAACUGUAAGUUAUGAAAACAUUGUUUUGAAAUGUCCAGUUUUCUUGUCAUGAUUAGAACUUUAACGUUUAUAAAAAUGUUUCUUACAGCAUUCUACUAACUUUCACCCAAAAUAUUACGUUAUUUGAACUUUUAAUGUUAAAAUUCUAAGAAUGUAAAAAUUUACAAAAACGUUUCUUAGAACAUUCAAGAGCAAAUUUCAUCAUAAGGACAUUCUGAGAAUGUUGUUCUAAGAAUGUUUUGUCUCAACGAUUUGAUAAUGUAUAUGAAGUAUCAAUAACGUUAUAAGAACAUUCCAUAAACAUUACUU
ensembl:lncRNA